rnacentral:rRNA from 1 species
AAUCAACGCUGGCGGCGUGCCUCAGACAUGCAAGUCGAACGCGAAAGGCCCCUUCGGGGGCCCGGUAGAGUGGCGCACGGGUGAGUAACACGUAGGUAAUUUGCCUUCGGGUGGGGAAUAACAGCCGGAAACGGCUGCUAAUACCGCAUAAUGCAGCGGCUCGACAUCGAGACAGUUGUUAAAGCGGGGGGAUCGCAAGACCUCGCGCCUGAAGAGAAGCCUGCGGCAGAUAGCUUGUUGGUGAGGUAAUGGCUCACCAAGGCGACGAUCUGUAACCGGCCUGAGAGGGCGGUCGGUCACACUGACACUGACAUACGGGUCAGACUCCUACGGGAGGCAGCAGUCGGG